UGUAGCGUGGCCGAGCGGUCUAAGGCUCUGGUUAUAGGCACCAGUCUCUUCGGAGGCGUGGGUUCGAAUCCCACCGCUGCCA
rnacentral:tRNA from 1 species